rnacentral:rRNA from 1 species
GAAGUAGCUAGCCUAACUGCAAAGAGGGCGGUUACCACGGUGUGGCCGAUGACUGGGGUGAAGUCGUAACAAGGUAGCCGUAGGGGAACCUGCGGCUGGAUCACCUCCUUA